AGUGGAUCAGGCACAGAACUCAGAGUGGAUGUUGUGCCAUCUCAGGGUUCCAAUGUCACACCUCAGUGCUGAUUACUGUCCUCAUUACAUCUGUCAUAUUUAUUAUAUACAGAGAUCGUUGUAAGAGACCAAAACAACAG